rnacentral:rRNA from 1 species
AACGAACGCUGGCGGCACGCCUAACACAUGCAAGUCGAACGGAACUUACAGAUCCAGGCGUUUCUUGGCGCGGUAGCCGACGGAAGAUUCACGCGGGUGUAGAAUGACCUGGAGUAGUUGGCAACAAUUCGAGACGACUGCUACGGACCCAUAAGCCCACGCCCCUGCAUCGGAUUGCGGUGGAAUGAUUUAUUCGCUUCAGGAUGGACUCGCGUCGAAUUAGCUAGUUGGUGAGGUAACGGCCCACCAAGGCGACGAUUGGUAGCCGGACUGAGAGGUUGAACGGCCACAUUGGGACUGAGACACGGCCCAGACUCCUACGGGAGGCAGCAGUGGGGGAUAUUGGACAAUGGGGGAAACCCUGAUGCAGCGACGCCGCGUGGAGGAAGAAGGUUUUCGGAUUGUAAACUCCUGUCGUUAGGGACGAUAAUGACGGUACCGAACAAGAAAGCACCGGCUAACUACGUG